rnacentral:misc_RNA from 1 species
UGCAAAGGCCUUGUGGGAUUCAAUCAUAUCUAACAUACUCUAAUAAAGCCACAACUUGGCUCUGAUCUUGUGAGAGAAUGACAUCUAAAGGCUGAUACAAAGGACGCCAAUACUCAGACACAGCUAAAUCUUUCUCCAAUACGAGAUUUACAAUUUCCAGAGAAAGGAGGACAGCUUGUUCCAGAAGUUGCCCAUAAAUUUGACUAGUUCUUUCAGAAAUUAGGUAAUUGACUCCUGGUGAAAGAAUACUCAUGAUAUUCCGGAACACAGUUUUACCACUCAUAAAAUCUUUCAACAACUCUAUUACAGGAAGCUGCAUCUGCAGCGGAGCAGAUUGACCUGUUUCUGACAGCUGAGAUUGG